rnacentral:rRNA from 1 species
AACGAACGCUGGCGGCGUGCCUAACACAUGCAAGUCGCGCGAGAAAAGGGGGGUAACUCCCUGAGUAAAGCGGCGCACGGGUGAGUAACACGUAGGUAACCUACCCCCGAGUCCAGGAUAACCUGCCGAAAGGUGGGCUAAUACCGGAUAUGACCACGGGAGCUUCGGCUCCUGAGGUGAAAGGUGGCCUCUGCUCGCAAGCUACUGCUCGAGGAUGGGCCUGCGCGCCAUUAGCUAGUUGGUGGGGUAACGGCCCACCAAGGCGAUGAUGGCUAGCUGGUCUGAGAGGAUGGCCAGCCACACUGGGACUGAAACACGGCCCAGACUCCUACGGGAGGCAGCAGUGGGGGAUAUUGCGCAAUGGGCGAAAGCCUGACGCAGCGACGCCG